rnacentral:tRNA from 1 species
GCCCCAGCAGCUCGAUGGAUCGAGCACUCCUCUGCUAAAGGAACGGUUCCCGGUUCGACUCCGGGCUGGGGCA